GAUGAACGCUGGCGGCGUGCCUAAUACAUGCAAGUCGAGCGAAUGGAUUAAGAGCUUGCUCUUAUGAAGUUAGCGGCGGACGGGCGAGUAACACGUGGGUAACCUGCCCAUAAGACUGGGAUAACUCCGGGAAACCGGGGCUAAUACCGGAUAACAUUUUGAACCGCAUGGUUCGAAAUUGAAAGGCCGCUUCGGCUGUCACUUAUGGAUGGACCCGGGUCGCAUUAGCUAGUUGGUGAGGUAACGGCUCACCAAGGCAACGAUGCGUAGCCGACCUGAGAGGGUGAUCGGCCACACUGGGACUGAGACACGGCCCAGACUCCUACGGGAGGCAGCAGUAGGGAAUCUUCCGCAAUGGACGAAAGUCUGACGGAGCAACGCCGCGUGAGUGAUGAAGGCUUUCGGGUCGUAAAACUCUGUUGUUAGGGAAGAACAAGUGCUAGUUGAAUAAGCUGACACCUUGACGGUACCUAACCAGAAAGCCACGGCUAACUACGUGCCAGCAGCCGCAGUAA
rnacentral:rRNA from 1 species